CAGAUGAGAUCUCUUCAGCAGUCAAGCCAUCUUGUAUUGGAAAGAAGGUGAAAUCCGGGUGGUUUGAAGGGUUGGGGGAGUUGAACUGGGUGUGAAUAACAGUGAUAGAAAAGCCCUUUGAGUGAAGGAAGGAACCCAGCUGAAGCAUUGGAUUUAUGUGACCUUGGUAUGGACAUGGGAAUAAGACCAACCUGUUACUCUGUGUUUUCUUUUCCAUCUCCAUCCUUCCUUCUUUCUUUUUUCUCUUAGAGAGACAUAGACACACACCCCCAAAAGGUUACAGUGAUUGGAUUUCUAAAUUUUUGACUGCAUCAUUGAAACCCUUGGAGUUUUUAUAAAGGUGAGUUAUUAAAAACAUCCUUUUUUACCUUCUGCAUAAGCCUCUAAAUUCAAGCUCUUGAUUACUCUUUGAUUUGUUCAGGACAAUGACUGAAUAUAAAAUACACACACACACACACAUCCCGAUUUGCCAUCCCAGUAUCACAAGCUAAUAACACGAUGUCAUAAAUUUUAACUUCUUCACAUUACAUUAUAUUAUUGGCACAGAAUAUCACAAGGGCAUAUACGAGCAUCUAUAGGCGAUAGCUAUUCAGCUACCAGUAGCUUUGGCUACAUCUUCCUGGAUUAAAGCGGUAAGCGGUAACGGCUGAUUCUCUCAUCUCUUCCAGAAGGGAUUGAUGACAAUUGCAGAUAAAAUAUCUUUGGUCUAAAAUAAUUUUAUUGUCAUUGUUAUAUUGUUAGACAAGGGAAAAACAACAAGCUAUGUCUUCAUCUCUUAGGGAUCACGAUAAGUUGAUUGUCCUUGUUGAAUUAGUAUUCCUCCAAUACCUAAAGUUUAAUACCUUUAACUUAAUUAAUUGUUGAACAGUUGUUUUAACCUUAAUUUUUUUUUCCAGGAAAAAUGUGGCUUUUGAAUUGAAGAAAUGCUGCCUCCUUACACAGUGACAUCUGAAAAUUUUCAUUAUUUUGUCUCCCUAACAUUACUAUUUGUCAAAAGGGAAGCGUAGAAAAUUAGAAAUCAAUCUCCUUUCAUAAAUUCAAGCCCCAAUGAAUGGUACACACCUUCCUUCCCUAAAAUUCCACACAUUUCCUGCCAAUCCUUUGUUCAAGAUGAUUGACCAAUCAGAUUUUUCGUAAUAAAGAUCAUAUAAAUGAGCUGAUAAUGAAAAAAUUUGACGAAGUCAUCGUUUUUAUAUUUCACUUUCAUUGUGAAUUGGCAACACUGACCUAAAAAAAUCUGAGUUUUGCACGAAUCAUAAUCAAACGUAAGAAAAUUGUGAAUAAAUUUAAUACAAGUAGGCCUGACAAUUUCUAACACGAUUUGAUAACCCGACACGACACGACACGAAAUUAACAGGUGUUCAGGUCGAUACGAUAACUAAUCGGAAUGUUAUUGGGUAACCCGAUAAGCACCUGUUAAGAUAACGGGUUGGUUCGGGUAUAUAUGUGGGUAACACGAUACACGAUAAUCAAAAUAUUAAUUUUAUAAUUUUAUAACCCUAAAAAAACCUAUAAUAAUUAUAUAUAUUAAAUUAAAUGUUAAAAAUUGGUGAUCAUUGGAUCGGCUUAAAUAUAUAUAUCAUUCAAUUUCUUAAGUGUUAUACGUACAAAAUAAAUAAAUUUAAAUCUACUUAAUAUAUAUAUAUACACACACACACACACCAUUGAACUUGAUGGGAUACAAAUUUUACGAAAUUAAUUUUAACGAUUCAACCAUCAAACUUGUUUGUAUAUGCUUUGAGAUUGCAUUAGCAAAAAUUGAAAAAAACAAACAUUCAGAGAUCAAGUAAUGGGACAAAACUUUUCGACGGUUAUCAACGAAAAAUCACAAUUUAACUGUUAUUUUAACUUCGAUUUUGAUGAUUUUUUACAGCUACACUCCUUGACCCUGAAUACAAUGAAUGAACUCGAUCUUCAAUUUAAAAUAUUUACACUAGUAGAUACCACAAAAUCUUAUGUUAUACUUAAUGAAAGUAUGCAUAAACUCUUAAAUGUUAGUGAAUAUAUUGUUUUAUGGGAUAUGCAUUCUACGAAAUUAGUUUCAACUAUCCAACCGUUAAACAUGUUUGUAACUUUGAGAUCGCAUACGCCAAAAAUUGCAAAAAACAAACAUUUAAAGAUCAAGUAACGGGACAAAACUUUUCGACGGAUAUAAACAAAAAAUCAUGAUUUAAUGGUUAUUUUAACUCCGAUUAUGAUGAUUUUUUUACAGCUACACUCCUUGGCCUUAUAUGAAUACAAUGAAUGAAUUCGAUCUUCAAUUUAAAAUAUUUACACUAGUGGAUACCACAAAAUCUUAUGUUAUAUUGAAUGAAAGUAUGAAUACACUCGUUAAAUGUUAGUGAAUAUAUCGUUUUGAUGGGAUAUGCAUUCUACGAAACUAAUUUCAACGAUCCAACCGUCAAACUUGUUUGUAUAUGCUUCAAGAUCGCAUACGCCAAAAAUUGCAAAAAACAAACAUUCAAAGAUCAAGUAACUGGACAAAACUUUUCAACGGUUAUCAACGAAAAAUCAUGAUUUAACGGUUAUUUUAACUUGAUUUUGAUGAUUUUUUAUAGCUACACUCCUUGACCCUAUAUGAAUACAAUGAAUGAACUCGAUCUUCAAUUUAAAAUAUUUACAUUAGUGGAUAUCACAAAAUCUUAUGUUAUACUUAAUGAAAGUAUGAAUAAACUCUUAAGUGUUAGUGAAUCUAUUGUUUUGAUGGGAUAUGCAUUCUACGAAACUAGUUUGAACGAUUCAACCUUCAAACAUGUUUGUAUAUACUUCAAGAUCACGUACGCCAAAAAUUGUAAAAAACAAACAUUCAAAGAUCAAGUAAUGAGACAAAACUUUUUGACAGUUAUCAACGAAAAAUCACGAUUUAACGGUUAUUUUAACUCUGAUUUUGAUGAUUUUUUACAACUACACUUCUUGACCCUAUAUGGAUACAAUGAAUGAACUCGAUCUUCAAUUUAAAAUAUGUACACUAGUGGAUACCCAAAAAUCUUAUGUUAUACUUAAUGAAAGUAUGAAUAAACUAUUAAGUGUUAGUGAAUCUAUCGUUUUGAUGGGAUACGCAUUUUACAAAACUAAUUUCAACGAUCCAACCGUCAAACUUGUUUGUAUAUGCUUCGAGAUUGCAUACGCCAAAACUCGCAAAAAAACAAACAUUCAGAGAUCAAGUAACAGGACAAAACUUUUUGACGGUUAUCAAAGAAAAAUUAGGAUUUAACGGUUAUUUUAACUCCGAUUUUGAUGAUUUUUUACAGUUACACACACUCCUUGACCCUAUAAGAAUACAAUGAAUGAACUCGAUCUACAAUUUAAAAUAUUUACAGUAGUGGAUACCACAAAAUCUUAUGUUAUACUUAAUGAAAGUAUGAAUAAACUCUUAAGUGUUAGUGAAUCUAUUGUUUUGAUGGGAUAUGCAUUCUACGAAACUAGUUUCAACGAUUAAACCGUCAAACAUGUUGGUAUAUACUUCAAGAUUGCAUACGCAAAAAAUUACAAAAAACAAACAUUCAGAGAUCAAGUAACGGGACAAAACUUUUCAACGGUUAUCAAUGAAAAAUCACAAUUUAACGGUUAUUUUAACUCCGAUUUUGGAUGAUUUUUUUACAGCUACACUCCUUGACCCUAUAUGAAUACAAUGAAUGAAUUCGAUCUUCAAUUUAAAAUAUUAUACUAGUGGAUACCACAAAAUCUUAUGUUAUACUUAAUGAAAGUAUGAAUAAACUCUUAAGUGUUAGUGAAUCUAUCAUUUUGAUGGGAUACACAUUCUAUGAAACUAAUUUCAAUGAUCCAAUUGUCAAACUUGUUUGUAUAUGCUUCAAGAUCGCAUAUGCCAAAAAUCGCAAAAAACAAACAUUCAGAGAUCAAGUAACGGGACAAAACUUUUCCACGGUUAUUAACGAAAAAUCACGAUUUAACCAGUGUUCUAAAAAUCGGCCUAGGCGGCGCCUAGGCGUUGGGCGGCGGAGCCCCGACUAUAUUUCGGCCAAAACGUUCACUUAAGGUGGGGAGGAUUUAGGCGGUCGCCUAGGCGCUCAUUAGGCAUUCUAGGCUGUGUUAGGCGGCAGUCAAGGCGGCUGCAAAUCCCAAACUCACUGCAACUCUCGCAGCAAAUCUGCGUCGUACGUAGAAGCAGAGCCUCAGCGAGCUUCUGAAGCUUGUCGUCUAUGAGCAGAUGAGGGCUCGCCGUCUAUGAGCAGAUGAAGGAAGAUAUAGUACGAAUAGAGAGAGAGAGCCUCAGCAGCGUGAGUUGCAGUCUUGCAGAUUUAGUUUUUAGCAUCUGAAAGGGCUAAUGAAGAAGAAGAAGUGAAAAGGUUUAAUGGGAAUGAUACUUUCACUUUUCGAUGGGUCAAAAUAUGGUUUUGAUUUGAGCUCCACCUUGGGGAAUGUAAGAGAGGUGGUGGAACCCGGUUUUUAAUUUUGAAACCAAGCAUUGGCACACUGCAUGGUUUUGUUAUUGGGGAAUGUUAGAGAGGUGGAGUGGAACCCGGUUUCUAAUUUUGAAACCACCCACUGACACAAUGCAUGGGCUUGUUAUCUUUUGAAAAGUUGGAGAUAUAAAUAAAUAUAUAUAUCUAUAUAUAUAUAUAUUAUAAAUGUUAUAUGAAUUAUUUAGAUAAUGAUUUUUUCUUAGACUAUCAUAUUAUAUACAUAAAAUAAGUAAUUAUAUAGUCAUAUAAUAUAUAAUAAAUCUAAAUCUGUCUAGGCGUUAGGCCUCAGCUCGUCACCUGACUAGUGCCUAACGUUUUUUAGAAUCAUCUUUUUGCAUUUUAUCAUUUUUUUAUAUUAUCUUAUCCUUGGAUUUCAUACAAGUAUAAUUUUUUGUAAGUGUCAAUAUGCACUUAUUUACAAGAUAUAUAAGAAAUUUACCUAAAUCCGCCUAGGCGCUAGGCGCUAGCCCGCCGCUCGACUAGCGCCUAGCGUUUUUUAAAACCUUGGAUUUAACGGUUAUUUUAACUCUGAUUUGAAUGAUUUUUUACAGCUAUACUCUUUGACCCUAUAUGAAUACAAUGAAUGAAUUUGAUCUUCAAUUUAAAAUAUUUACACUAGUGGAUACCACAAAAUCUUAUGUCAUGAUGAUUGAUGAAAAUUGAAGAUUUUGUAAAAGGAAUAACAUGCAAGCUUUGAGUUCCAUUGGCAAGGUUUAAACUUUUGAGAAAUGCUUCAUAACCUUGAAAACAAAAACUCUUUCAUUUUGCAUAUCCUUACCCAUUUAAUAUUUUGUAAUAAACUAGUAGUGUAUGGAUGUUUGUUUAUUAUGCUCUUAUUUUCGAGUGUAGAUGUACUACUUAAACGACAAAUGUGUUUUAAUGUUUUGAAGUAAUAUUUAUGUGGCAAUGUGUGGUAUGUGCAAAUUUGAGAAAAAAAAAAUAUUUUUCUUAACGGAUCAUAACGGGUCGGGUCUGUUAAGAUAACGAGUGUGACAUGACACGACUUGUUAAGAUAACAAGUGUUACACGAAAACGACACAAACACGACAAACAUGACCCAUUUGCCAGGCCUAAAUACAAGAACAAGAGUCCUGAUCUUCUAAGGUUUGAUUUUGAGGACUUGUGAGGACCAAAUGCAUAUUAGCUACAAAUUGUAUUAGUUUAGAUCCAAAAGUUUAAAUUUUUUGACAAGUUAAUAAAGCAAAACAAGAAAAUGAGUUUUCUAAUAGUUCAUGAAUUUUAAGUUGGUUUUGAUUAUUAAGUUGUCAAAUAUUUUAAGCCUUUGGAUCUAAAUAAUCUAGUGGCUAAUAUGCAUUGAGUCGUCAGAUCCUCAUUUUGAGAACCCUACAAGAGCAGGACUAUAAGAACAAUUCAUGCUCCAAAUGGUCAAUCAUCUUGGUCAAAUGGAAUUCGUGCAAAAUCAUCUUGAGCUGAAGAAAUUGCAUGUAGGGCAUCGCUGAAAGAUCGGGUUUCUUUCUGUCGGUAUCCAUAUUCAACGUCUCCACCAUAACUUUACGCAAAUGUAGGUGUUUAUAAGUUAAUGUUCUUGUGAAAUUGGUAAUAGUAUAUAUGAGAAUGAAGCCCAAAGGGAAUGGUUGGGGUGGCAGCUUUCAAGUGCUGCAAUACCAGCCAGUGCAGCCACCCAACUCCUUUAAUGAAGGUUUUUAGUUAUAAUAAGAACAUUGGAAUUGCAUGUUAGCGUCGAGAAAUAAUGUACUUGAAUGGCUGGCCACUUUCUCGAAUCUAGCUAGUGGAUGACCAUAGGCUGCAUUUUGCAGUUAGUAUUUGGCAAUGAUAUAUCGGUUUGUAUCGGAAAGUUAUAGGGUGUUACAGUUGAACUGAAUUAGAUCCUUUUUCAACUUCUAACUUCUCAUUAUUGUCAAUUUCUGGAAUCCAAACUUGUAUAGCUUCAAAAUUUGGAAUUCAAACUUGUGUAGUUUCAAAUGUAAGGGGGUACCUUCGUUAGACAAGCGACGACAUUGUUCAAGAAUCAAUCAGAAAUGUUGUGGUUAUAGGUCUCUUCUGGUUUCCCUUAAGCACUAGUCUAAUUGCUUUGAUACCAUUCCGAAGGAGGAGGUUGGACUUUAUUCUAUCGGAGUUCCACUUCCGGGCAAACCUUGUUUUAUGUCGGAGUAUGAAAAGUUGUGUCUUAUUGUGUGAUUAAAUGUAUGACAUAGAUGUGUCUGUAUUUUCUACUAUUUAUUUUUCGUUUGUUAAAAAAAUUCACUCAUACCAUCGAGUUUGUUUAGAAUCUAGUAAAUUUAGUUCUUUUGUAUGAUUAUAAUAUGUUUUUAACUUUAGAUCAAGCCCACCUUAUUUUCAAAUCCCGGUCCAUCGCGGGCUGUGUUCGUCUACUUUAUAGCAUACAAAAUAUCAUGAAUGAUGAAGCUUACGAUAACUGAUUUUGCUAAUUUAGUAUGAAAUUGGAUGCUACUCUGUUUAUAGUAUGAACGAUGAAAUUUACAAAUGUGGGUUACACUAGUUGAUUAUGCUAGUGUGUUUGUUCCUUUGCAGCCAAGUUAUUCUCAUCCUUGUAAAUUAGACUAGUGUAAUAUCUCUCAGUCAAAACAAAAUAUGUUGAUCCUUACAUAUGGUUGGCAUAUCAAUGGGACUGCUUGAAAGAUACUCUCAACGAUUCAAUUCCAACCACAAUGGCUCCAAAACUGUCCAACUCCUGUGUGUCGGGACUUGCUUUCGGGGUGCUCAUUUCACUAUGUGCCCCCUUUGACCAACCCUUUAUUGGAAACCUUCGGGCAAUGAUACGCAGUCCGUCCGAACCUUUUAUUGGAAACCUUCGGGCAAUAAUACGGAGUCUGUCCGAACCACUCACAAGAAAGGCUUCUCAUUGGUGGCCAGACCCCAUGCCAUUAUAUAAAUCUUCAUUAUCCAUGAAAGCUAUGCUUCCUAGGCUUACAUAGCCGAUAGAGAGUUUUGUGCUUGUUUAUCGAGCCAUGACAUACAGCUCUGGCCAUCUUUCAACAAGAUUAUAAACAUGGAUGGAACAGUUUCUUGUAGAGGACUGAUAGGAAACUGUAACGACCCAUCCCCAAAUAUUACGAAUUUUAUAAUUUUAAAAUGUGAAAUUACGAAAAUGCCCUUCGAGGCAAAUACGUUGACUUUUGUUGACUGUCUUGUCAUGUCACAUAAGAUCCAUUCCCUUGGUGUAUCCUCAUAGUACUCGUUGCUAAAAACUCGUGGGCGCAAACGGAAUGUAAUUUGGAGUUACAAUGAAAGAGUUAUUAACGAACGAAGUUGAGGGCAAAAUGGUCAUUUAACCAUAAAUCUGGAAGGCUCCAGAUUUUGUUGGAGCAUCAAUUUAGUGCCAUGUGUGUGGUUGUGAUCAAGGAAGAAAAUAUCGGUGAUAUCGGAAAUAUCGGUAGUCCGAAAACACGGAAAUAUCGAUGGAAAUAUCGGUAAAAUAUCGAUAUCGAUAAAAAUUACAUGGAAACCACGGAAAUUGUAAGAAAAACUUGGAAAUUUUUAUUGAAACUUUGUAGGAUGUUUAUUUAGUCAAUUAUCUAUUAGUUUAUCACAAAAAAUUGGAAGGAAAUGCAUUGCAUGAUGGAUUUAACAUUAUCAAGUUGAUUAUAUAGCGAUCUGACAAACAUUAUGAGUGUAGAAAAUAUGUAGUAAUUAAUGAAAGAAGUCUAAACACACCAUAAUCAUUUAUAUAUAAUGAAUUAGUACAAUAUUUUACACUUUAGAACCACAAUAUUGUAAAAGCUGCAUGAAAUUGUCUAAAUAAUUGUAAAACUAUUGAGUGAGUUUAUCCUCCUGACAGGAGGAACCCACACACAUCAUCACUGUCAAAAACACAUCGCACGCACACACAACGCACGCACGCAGACCACACCUCAGUCUCUCUCUCUCUCGAUCCUUCUCGUUCUCUCUUCUCCCUUCUCUUCUUCCAAACACACACACACACACAGAGCUCCUCAGUCUCUCCCUCUCUCGAUCAUCCUUCUCCAUCUCUCUUCUCCCUUCUCUUCUCCCACACACACACUCACACAGAGAGCUCCACAGGUUGACAUCGGAUCCAAGUCCAACACACGCACACACAGAGAUCGGACUCACAGAGAUCUCCGAUCUCUCUUCUGCCAAACACACACACAUGCACACAGAGAUCUCUCGAUCUCUCAUCUCCAUUCUCCGAUCUCUCUUCUCCCUUCUCCGAUCUCUCUUCUCCCAAACACCCACAUACAAAGAGAGAUCUCCGAUCUCUCUUCUCCCAAACACACACACACACAGAGAUCGCCGUUGAUCGUGGCUCAGGCGAAGUCAGAGGUGCGCCGCGGAGCAAGGAUCGUUCGUAUUCCGCUUCGUCAGGUGAGAUUCCAUGAAACCCUAAACCCUAAUCUCUCCGACUUCACCCUGCCUUGAAUCGUUUGUAUAUUUGUGAAAUCUGAUGUAUAUUUGUGAAAUUAAUGUUAAGAUUCGUGUUUUUGCAAGGUUUUUGGGACGAAACCGGCCCGGGAAUCGCCCCACCGUCUCCGGCGUUCUUCUCCGACGUCGCCUCGGAUUCCGAUUCCACCGUCCAUGGAUAUUUCGCCGAUAAUUUCCAAAUAUCGCGAUAUUUGGCCGAAAACCCCACGGAAACCAGUUAAAAUAUCGCCGACCGGAAAAAUCGAUAUUAUCGGCGAUAUUUCGCCGAUAAUAUCGAUAUUUAAAUCUGUGGUUGUGAUGGAAAGAAGAGGAGAGAAAUGAGAGGGGUGUUGCCCAAUCGGGAAUGAGGGAAUCUGGACCCGAAGGCCUCCAUGGUUUCCGACGCCUUUCACGGCGGAUUUUCGGCUAGUUGAAGCCACUCACCACCUGAGAAGCGUCAAAUCGAGAAAACCUAUUUCAAGGAUUUUCGACGGAUCAAUGGUGACUUGAGCUAUUUCCCGACUGAAUUGAACUUUGACCCAUGUAUGAAAGUUGUUCCUCUCAUUGAGAUCUUCAUUCCUGCAAAAUUUGGGAAUUUUUGGAGUUGUUGAAUUUUUCGGCAAGUCGUGGCUGCCAGUCGGCGGCGACGGUGGCGCGUGGCCUUCUGGGCCGCCGCUUCAUGGAGGUUUGCACGACGGCGCGUGGGGGGAAACCCGAGAUCCCUUCUUAGGUUUUUCAAUGUGCCGAAUCCGAAUUCGCUGUCCGUUUUCCCAAAUUCUAUCGUUUAUGUAUAGUUUUACUAAAUGGUUCCUAAUUGUGUUUAGAUGUGCGUUAAUAGGAAGCGACACCAUUCUCGCUAGUUCAAGCUGCUCUCGGGCAAUGGAAAACUUAUGAGUGGACCCCUUCUUAACUUGCAUGUUUUUAUAAAAUAUUAGGCUUGUAUUCACGAAAGACAUGAUUUCAUGAUUUUACGCUUUAUGCAUUAAUUAUGAUUUAUUCAAAUUGCUUUUAUGAAAUAUUUAUGAUUUAUCGAAAUUAUGUUUUACUAAAGGCUAUGAAUUAUUAGAUUCUCGUUUAUGAAGUUCUAGGGAUUUACGAAUAUGAUUUAUUUUACGGAUUUAUGAGUAUGUACUAUCUUGGAUUGAUGAAAUGAGACUUUGAGGUUUUGAGUUUUGGAUUUGGAUAUGAGUUUUUGAGAUAUGUUUUUGGUGCUUAUCUAGUGGGUUAUCAUACAACACAUCCACACAACACGGGUAUGUAGAUGUCUAUGGCCAUAGGGCACAAUUGAUGAUAUCUAUGUAUAUAUUUCUUCUCCUGUGUAACCCAGAGUCGUACAACUUCACCUUUGGAUGAUGGGGCCUACCAUGUUUCUUCAGUAGCGUAACCCAGUGUCGUACAACUUCAUCUUUGGGUGAUGGACAUGUAUUGCCUUCGGCCGAAUGAAGAGUUAAUGAUAUUGAUGACAUACCCCUAACUUCACUGAUGAAACUAUUGUCGAAUAGCUUCACUAGACACGGCUAGUGUCGGUGUGUGAUGUUAUAUAUAUUCUCUUCUCUGGCGUAACCCGGAGUCGUACAGCUUCACCUUCGAAUAUGUGACUAGGGCUCAACAUGAAUAAUGAUUAAGGAAGCAUGGCGAGAUGAAUAGGCAUGAGCAUCGUGUCUUAAUCACCAUGGCAUGACAUGUUUUUAAAUAUAUUCCUCGUUGAUCCCGUGCCUUGGCAUGUAUUUGGGCUUGAAUGUAGGCUUUGCAUGACAAUUGGUCUUUGAGACUUGGUUGGAUUGAUGUGUGACAUUUUUGGACCCCAACACUAUGUUAAGUUGCUACGAAAAAUUUCCCAAUUUCUCAGCUUUUAGUUAUGUUAGUUUAUAAUUGCAACAACUUUUUUGAGUGUUGUAGCAGAUAUGCAACUAUAAAGGCUUCUUUAGAAGUAUAACAGUUUGACUGUGGUUUCAGUCAUUAAGGGGGCCAAAUGCUUAGUGUUAUAUAGAUUGCACUUAUAAGACAAAUACUAUGCAUUGAUUCAUUCAUAUCUUGUUGGAUUUUCAUGUGUUUGUUAAUUUCAUGACAAUCUUGGGGAUAGUGUUUAAUUUGUAAAAUGUGAUUCCCUCUAAUUCUUCAUGGAUAUUAGCUCAUGACAGAAGUUUGUUUAUCAUGGAUUUUAAUGUUUUGAUCUCAUGGCCAUUAAGAGCAACUUUUUUUUAAUAUUCGGUUUCGAGUAUGUUGUAUACAAGUGUUGACUCUAGUGGGAAAAUGUAAGACUAUAUUAGAGUUCCACACUUGUAUGUAACGUCUCCUGUAGAUUAAGGAUUUCAUAGACUGAUUUCAAUAAUACUUGUACGCUAAUAAAGAGAGUGUAUUAUUAGGAUUUUAUAGGUAAAGCAAUCCUGAUACGAAUAGUAAACUUAAUCAAAUAUGAAUACUGAAGUUUAGGUGAUAAAGUCUCGUUCGAGUAGAAUUACAUGAUGGGAAGUUCCCUACUCGAAUUCCACCUCUUUUACUAUAUAACAACGGUCUUUGCUCUCACACUCGAUACACAGAAAUAACCCCUUCUAGGCUUAUUGAAUAGAGCUGUGAAAAGGUGAGUGAAAGAGAGUAGAAGAUCAUUUGUUUUUGCUAUGGAGUUGUCACGAAAUAAGGAGAGAUGCAGACACUCAGAAUAUUGCUCAACAGAGGUUCUAAUUCAGAUAAAUGUUUUUAGUUGAUUAUGAUUUUCCUUCUUACAAGAGUUAGUCCUUAUAUUAAAAUAACAUAAGACUUUAGGGGUAUGAUUUGGAAAAGACCUAUUGGAAAUUGUAAUUUCGUAGGUAGACAAUUGGUUUUAUGAAGUAAUACUAAUAGUAAAAUGUAAGUAAACAAACAUAGAAAAAAAGUCGAAGGUUGAAUAUAGCCAAUUCAAUGCAAGAGAAAAUAAUGUUACGGCAAUCUUUGACCCCCUACAAAGAGAGAAUCUUCCGUAGAGUUGCCACACUAUGAUUGGUGGGUGAGACCAAAUGCGGAGAGUGUUUUGUGUGUACGGGCAUAUGGUAGAGCUGCCACGCUAUUGUUGGUGGGUACGUGUGGGACAAAUGCGGAGAGAGUACUUUGUGUGUGCGGGAUAGUCGCAUGGUCUGGAUGUCCAUAAUGAAGUUUUUCUCCUUACGAUGAAUGGAUAAUUGUCUAUUGUUUUGUUUAUUCAGUUACGUGAUACCUUCUGUUGUAGGGUACUGAAGUGAGGAAACUCACGUUGUUGUUCUCCUCACGGCCAUAUGUGAUGUUUGGGUACAAAUUGUUUGGGUUCUGCAUAAAAGCAUACUUAACAAAAUUAAAGCGCAAAUCUAGUUGGACCAUUUUAGUACCCUAACUCUAACUGAACCAACCACGCAUCUUAGACCUGGUUUGGGAGUGAGGUGCUUAAAAAAAAAGCACCCAUGAAAAAAAGCUGUAAGAGUUUUAGGUGUUUGGUAAACUGAAAAAAAAAAGGCUUAUUUUGGAAGCUGCUGUGAGAAUAAGCUGAAAUCAAAGGAAAAAACUGAAGCUGCUAUUUGCAGCUUUGGAAAACUGGUUUUUUUUCAAAGCACACGGAGCUACAGUGCUCCUUUAAUGAAAAGACCCACUAUUAGACUGCUUUUUUUUCCAAAAGCACUUUUACAAAAAAGUUUACCAAACACUCUGCUGCUUUAUUUCACAGCCGCUUAUUCUCACAGCAGUUUUUUUUCAAAGCACAGCAAUAUCAAACCAGCCCUUAGUUUGCUCCAUUCCUUCAAGUUCGAGAUUUGUGUUACCAACUAAUGCAUCACAAUCUUUCCAAAAAAUAAAAAAAAUAAAAAAAACUAAUGCAUCACAAUAUAUAAGACAUUUUAUUCAAAGAUGAGGACGGACUACAAAGAAAUUCUUUCUUGCAUCCAUCUGCAGGAAACUUUAUUCAAGGUUGUCGUAAAAAAUACAUAAUUAAAGUGACAUGAUAAGUUCUACAAGCUUAUUCAAGAAUUUGUAGGAAGAACCACCUUUCCUCAAAGAAACUUCUAUUUUCUCUUUCAAAUCCUUGGCCCUAACCCGCAUCACUUCCCCAUCAACAUCUACCAUCAGUUUCCGGACAGCUCUCUCAAUCUCUCCUCUCUCUACCUCAUUGUCUAAAUGUAGCCCUACUUUCCAUACUUGGCCAACGUACCUUGAAUGCACCUUCUGAUCGCCAAAAGACGGCAGGCAUAUCAUUGGAAUCCCUUCGGACAAACUUUCUAGCGUUGAGUUCCAACCGCAGUGGCUCCAAAACCCUAUGAUUGCGCGAUGGGACAAAACUUCCCUCUGGGGUACCCAUUUUACAAUGCGACCACGUUCUCCAAUCGCUUCUAUGAAACCUUGAGGCAAUAGCUCAAUCCAAUCUGAACCAUUCACUGAGCCAGGUCUGAUUACCCAUAAGAAAGGCUGCUUGCUGUUAGCCAAUCCCCAAGCCAUUUCGGCAAGCUCUUUCUCACUGAUGGAUGCUACACUUCCCAAGCUUACAUAGAUAACCGCAUUGUUAGAUUGCUUAUCGAGCCACCCAAUGCAGCUUGUGUCCUCUUCUAGUAAGCUACUAGAAGCUGCAGCUUCAAUCUUGUGAAGAGGACCUAUGGAGAAGAUUGGAACUGGGCAUUGUUGCUGGAUCUGUGCUAGUGAUGAUUGCUCAAGACAAUCAGUAGUGUUCCAAACGAUUGCUGAUGCUGUCUUAACAUUGUGUGCAUUAACGACUAGUUCCGAGUACUUUUCUAAUGAGUCAAAGUUGUUGGUGGGCAGAUCCUUCAACCUGAGGGGAUCAAAAUCGGGCAGCGGCCUCAGUGACUGAGAGUCUGCAAUCCAACAGUUUUGUUUUCUUAGUUAUAUGCAAGAAAAACGAACAUAGAGUCUGUACUCUGAUUAAGAAAUAUAUAUGACACAUACCUGGGAAUGGGAUGUGACCUUUUGAAUGAAGCUGUAGUAGAGCAGUACGAGCUUGAAAAUUGGUAACGCUGGUAGUUCGUAACAUGAUGUUUGGGAUGUUUAGAUCCUUAGCUACAGCUUCAGUGAAGUACAUAAAGUCAUCAUAGAUAACGCAGGUGAUUUUGUUCUCGGGUUCCUGUUCCAUAACUUGAGUCAAGCGUUGUCGGAAACUCGCUUUGCAGUUGGCAUUUAUAGCCAGCAGAAUGGCUAUUGCAUUCCCAGAUGAGAUCUCUUCAGCUGUCAAGCCAUCUUGUAUUGGAAAGAAGGUGAAAUCCGGGUGGUUUGAAGGGUUGGGGGAGUUGAACUGGGUGUGAAUAACAGUGAUGGAAAAGCCCUUUGAGUGAAGGAAGGAACCCAGCUGAAGCAUUGGAUUUAUGUGACCUUGGUAUGGACAUGGGAAUAAGACCAACCUGGUACUCUGUGUUUUCUUUUCCAUCUCCAUUCUUCCCU
rnacentral:lncRNA from 1 species